rnacentral:rRNA from 1 species
CUUCGGCCCGAGUUGUAAUUUGCAGAGGAUGUUUAUGGUGCAGUACUUUCCGAGUUCCCUGGAACGGGACGCCACAGAGGGUGAGAGCCCCGUCUGGAUUGAUACUAAACCUGUGUUAAACUCCUUCAACGAGUCGAGUAGUUUGGGAAUGCUGCUCUAAAUGGGAGGUAAAUCUCUUCUAAAGCUAAAUAUUGGCCAGAGACCGAUAGCGCACAAGUAGAGUGAUCGAAAGAUGAAAAGCACCUUGAAAAGGGGGUUAAACAGUACGUGAAAUUGUUGAAAGGGAAGCGUUUAUGACCAGACUUGUGCUGUGUGGCUCAUCCGAGGUUCUCCCCGGUGCACUCCAUACAGUUCAGGCCAACAUCGGUUGUCGUCGGAGGAUAAGAACAGUAGGAACGUGGCCCUUUUCGGGGGGUGUUAUAGCCUAUUGUAUGAUACUCUGAUGGCGACCGAGGACCGCGCUUCGGCUAGGAUGUUGG